AACAGUUGGAUCAUUCUCUGAACAAACGGAAACAUGACAAAAGUAUUUUAAGGAAACGACCUCUGUGCUCACAAAGGAAGUGAAGUGAAGCCACCACACCCUGAGUGCACACACACACACACACACAUACCUACACAGACACACACACCUUGACCAGUGAGCCCAGUUUCUUUGUGCACAUUUAAAGUCAAAAUUGUUUGAACGACAAACAGAGAGGUCAUCGUGUGCAGGUGGAAACAUCACCUGAGGAAACCGACCAAUCAACAGCCAGUUCUACUAAACUGCUCCAGAACAGAACCAACACCCAACUCAAGACCACCACAUCUCCAGGAUCUGCUGCAGCCGUGGAGCUGAGCGGCCACAGGAACCACCGGCAUGUGACCACUAGGAGGCGUCACUUCACAACCAGAAGCUGCAGUGGAGCCACAAGUUGGAAAACAACAGUAGAAUAGGUUUUACAGUAAAUAGGGUCCCGGCCCCGCCCUCGCCAUCCUGAGUGGCUCAAAUCAAGUUAACAUCGAUUUAAUAUUGUUUCUGGGAACACGUGGGACGGACUGAAAUAACCUCAGCAGGACGGAUCUCCAGACACCGGGACACAGAGGACGAGUUGGACCAGAGACCGGAGCCUCCGGACUCUUCACAGUCCAGAUGCAGUUCUGAAGACAUCCUCCAGGUUCACGUGUUCACAGGUUCCACUUGUCCACCUCCUGUCACAACUACAUUAACGUGCACGUCUACAGAACAUUAACAUCAAGUCUCAUCCGGUUUCUGUUGAGUUAUAAAUUGACAAAUCAGUCGUGUGAAGCCGAGUGAGAUGAAUCUUUCUUUCCCUCCAACGCGUUCAGGAAGUUGCACUGACUCUCUCCCCUGAGCAAUAAUUGAUGGUCACGCUGGGCUAAACUAAUCAUGACCUCAUUCCAGCUCCACUGCCCUUUCAGAUUUGAAAGCAGGAGCGAGACGUGAGGCCGGGCGUCGAGCCACGCCCUGAAACCCAACCUGUUGUUUGAGGAGGGAGCGGCCGAGAGAUAAAGAUCAACACAACCGGUUCUACGCAGCUGAUACCACGGAAAGGAGAGUGAGUGAAAAGACACAGAGGUCACAGCAGAGACUCACCUUACACUCAAAAGAUAAAAAACUGUUUACCUGAAGCAUAAGAACAGAAAAUAGGAUGAGAGUAGUUUGUUAAAAAUGUAACUUUUGCUAUUUAAUCCCUCGAGACCAGAGGACACACCCAUCACUGAAUUCAUGCUGCUUCACAACCAAAUAGAACUCAACUAUCUGAAUGAUCGAUGAAUGAAAAACAUAAUCUGCCACUGAUUCACUCUCAAAACCACUGGAAGGAAUAUCAGUAUAAUAUAAUCAUAAAGUCCAGGUGUGAUCAGAUCUUAGGAACCUCAUCCCAGCUCCACACCUGUAAAGUGUUGAGAAGUUCAACAGGAGGAGGAAACUAAACCAUGUGUGGUUUUCCAGACUCACCCAGAACAGCAGGUUGAAGAAGAAGAGCAGAUAUUUGAUGCACUUGUUCACAGCCAUGAUGUUUCCCUCUCGUCUCUCGUCUGUCUCCUCUGCAGCGUCUCGUUCAGGACAGAACACAGAGACACUCCCUCGCACGAGUGAACACACUGGUUCCACUGGUUUCCUCCUCUCACUCCUGGUACUUCCCCUUUUUCUGCUGCUUGCUGCCAACCCCCCCAACCUGCUCUUGAUAUCUCUGAGGCUGUUUCUGUCCUACAACACACCAGACACCUGAAAGCAGAGACCAGUCCAUGAGCCCUAGAUCACUGGUCUACCUGAAACCAGCAGCUUGAUGAGGGAGAGUCUGAUGUGUGAGUGUGAACAAGAGAACGUUUCCUCCUUCUCCCCCUGAGCGUCUGUUCUCUGUGACUCUGGUGAGUGGGUUCCAUCUCCUGUGAGAACAACUGACUGAGAGUCACAGACACAACCAGCUGAAGAGUGAAGCUGAACUGGGAUCAGUUACAAACACUCUGAAGUUAUUAACAACCAGAGUUUAUCUCCUAGAUUCAGCAGGAAACUGUUAAAAUAUGAAGAAUUCUGAACAAGACUUUAAUUGAGUAAUAAAAAACUAAUAAAAACAC